AAGUCGUAACAAGGUUUCCGUAGGUGAACCUGCGGAAGGAUCAUUACCGAGUUAGGGUCUUAUAGGCCCGAUCUCCAACCCUUUGUUUACUAUACCAUGUUGCUUUGGUGGGCCCGCCUUUCGGGGCCGCCGGGGGCUUAUACCCCUGGCCAGUGCUCGCCAGUAGCCUUAUUAAAUUCUUUCAUAAUUAUGUUGUCUGAGUAUAAAAUAUAAAUCGUUUAAAACUUUCAACAACGGAUCUCUUGGUUCUG
rnacentral:misc_RNA from 1 species